rnacentral:rRNA from 1 species
GACGUAGGAUGCAAGCGUUGUCCGGAUUUAUUGGGCGUAAAGAGUUCGUAGGCGGUUUGUUAAGUCUGAUGUUAAAAAUCGGGGCUCAACCCCGGGGCUGCAUCGGAUACUGGCAGACUGGAGUAUGGUAGAGGUAAGUGGAAUUUCUGGUGUAGCGGUGAAAUGCGUAGAUAUCAGGAAGAACACCAGUGGCGUAGGCGACUUACUGGGCCAUAACUGACGCUGAGGAACGAAAGCCAGGGGAGCAAAUGGG